GAUGAACGCUGGCGGCGUGCCUAAUACAUGCAAGUCGAGCGAACAGAUAAGGAGCUUGCUCCUUUGACGUUAGCGGCGGACGGGUGAGUAACACGUGGGUAACCUACCUAUAAGACUGGGAUAACUUCGGGAAACCGGAGCUAAUACCGGAUAACAUUUUGAACCGCAUGGUUCUAAAGUGAAAGAUGGUUUUGCUAUCACUUAUAGAUGGACCCGCGCCGUAUUAGCUAGUUGGUAAGGUAACGGCUUACCAAGGCAACGAUACGUAGCCGACGUGAGAGGGUGAGCGGCCACACUGGAACUGAGACACGGUCCAGACUCCUACGGGAGGCAGCAGUAGGGAAUAUUCCGCAAUGGGCGAAAGCCUGACGGAGCAACGCCGCGUGAGUGAUGAAGGGUUUCGGAUCGUAAAACUCUGUUAUUAGGGAAGAACAAACGUGUAAGUAACUGUGCACGUCUUGACGGUACCUAAUCAGAAAGCCACGGCUAACUACGUG
rnacentral:rRNA from 1 species